rnacentral:rRNA from 1 species
GAUGAACGCUAGCUACAGGCUUAACACAUGCAAGUCGAGGGGCAGCAUGGUCUUAGCUUGCUAAGGCCGAUGGCGACCGGCGCACGGGUGAGUAACACGUAUCCAACCUGCCGUCUACUCUUGGACAGCCUUCUGAAAGGAAGAUUAAUACAAGAUGGCAUCAUGAGUUCACAUGUUCACAUGAUUAAAGGUAUUCCGGUAGACGAUGGGGAUGCGUUCCAUUAGAUAGUAGGCGGGGUAACGGCCCACCUAGUCUUCGAUGGAUAGGGGUUCUGAGAGGAAGGUCCCCCACAUUGGAACUGAGACACGGUCCAAACUCCUACGGGAGGCAGCAGUGAGGAAUAUUGAUCAAUGGGCGAGAGCCUGAACCAGCCAAGUAGCGUGAAGGAUGACUGCCCUAUGGGUUGUAAACUUCUUUUAUAAAGGAAUAAAGUCGGGUAUGUAUACCCGUUUGCAUGUACUUUAUGAAUAAGGAUCGGCUAACUCCGUG